rnacentral:misc_RNA from 1 species
GUGAAUCAUCGAAUUUUUGAACGCAAAUUGCGCUUCCUGGCACUCCGGGAAGUAUGCCUGUUUGAGGGUCAGUAUUAACAAAAAAUCGGUUUGGUUGCAAAUUGUGACGUUUCCGGAGUUUGGGCUAUCUUAAUUUUUUUGGUUAAGGGGCUUAAAAUUGACCUUAUUUGCGCAUUUUUAGACGUACAUAAAUUUUUUUUUUUUUGCGUUUUUUUUUACUACAAAUUUUCAUUUAGU